AAAAUAAUAUAAUUUGUUUUGAUUGUUUGUUUGUUUAUUUGUUUUGUAUUAUUUUCCAGUUUGUUUAUUUGUUUUGAAUGUUUUUUUAUAUUAUAUUAUUUUUUUUUGUUUAUUUAUAAGCUAUAUACAAAUAAUAUCCUUAUCCAUACUCCAUUCCAGUCGGUGGCGGUAAUGCACCAAUAAGUUAGGUUGCCAACCGCCAAUAAACACCAAAGAAGAAUAAGAAGAAGAACUGGAUAAACAUUCUCGAAGAGGAAGUAAAUCCUGCUGUGAUGUGAUCGCGCUUCCUAUUGGCCGCUGGUGGCGCUAUAGCGCACGGAGUUCGAAUGAACUGCAGCAGAGCUAGAGAGAACUGCUGUGGGUGAGUCCUUUCUGUUGCAGCUCCACAUUAAAAGUAAAUGUUGGUUUCAUAUUGAAUGUUAGAUGAUGUAUGCUAGGGAUCUCACACAGUGGACAUAAAUAGAUUUUAGAGUGUGUUUUCUGAUCAUAUUUCUGGGUAUUUUGAUAGUUUUAUUUCUGUUUGCAUGAACUCCAUAAUCUUUUAAUGUGCGCCAUUUUUCCAUGUGCUUUCUAAUCAACUGAAAUCUUUUCUUGAACAGAUGGAGCUGUAUUAUUAGCAUGACUCACUAUUCUCUUCUUUCCACUGCUCUGUGUGCAGUGCUGAUGUCCUUCAUCCACUCUGGACUCACUCAAGGUAUUGUGCUCUACUGAUUUACAUUUGAUUUAUUAAAUAUGAAUAGUGUUGUAGUAGUUUAUUUGUCUACAUGGAUCACAUGAGGAUCACACAUUUGUCUCUUUGCUGAUAAUUCAUCUCCAUAUUUUGCUGUUGUUCAUCUUCACUCAGCAUCAUUUAUGUGUAGCUCCUCAUGCUGCUAAACACUGCUAUUUCUGCAGUUUAUGAUGAAAGUUAAAUAAAAAUAAUAAAUAAAUAAAAAGCUUAUUGUAGUCUAUUGCAAAAAUGACAAAAAAAUGACAGUCUGUCAUUAACUCUUUUGUGAUGUUCAGGUUAUUUAAAACAUCCUCAAUGUGUAACUCUGCUGAUCUGUAAUGAUGGUUCAUGAAGACACACAUCUGUAUAAUGACAUGAAUAUUAUUACAUAAACAAAUAAUAAUAAUAAUAAUGAUAAUAAUUCCUCUGUUACAUAAUUUGUCAGAAUAUUGUAACAUAACUGCAAAAAUGGUACUUUAGCACAAAACUAGUUAAACUUAGAAUAAGGUUCAUAGUUUUCUUGUUAUAAUGAUGUUUGAAUGUCUCCAGAUCAAUCUGAUGAAACACUGAGUGAUCACUGCUGACAUCUGGAGGAUGUAGAUCUGAUUUCAGGUUUUAUGUAAUUAUUUAAGGACAGCAAUCUCCCACUAAACCAAAACACACUGAGCAUGUUAUCUCCAUGAGUGAAAGGAUUUA
rnacentral:lncRNA from 1 species